GACUCCGGUGGUGGCACUCCUGGAUUCCGGGACGGGGUUCAAUUCCCUGCGGUGUC
rnacentral:snRNA from 1 species